AUGGGUCACCCUGUGCCCGGCCCACCCUCCUCGAACCGUGUUCCGUUCACCGUGGCACGGCCGCCCCCGGAGCAGUUGGUGCCAUCCCCAUCCGUGACCCCCGCUCGCCCCCCACGUUUCCCAGAUGACGGCAGCUGGAGAGCCUGCCUCCGACAGUGGCUCCAGGCCACGGAGAGGCGACCCCGCAGAGAGCGGAUGUUUGUGAAGCUUCUCCUGGAGGGAAAGCUGCCGCCAGCGCUGAACACCCCCCUCCAGGCACAGACAGGAGAGCGGCCACGAGCUGGUCAGUCCCUCUUAGAGCCACAGUCGGGGGCUCCGAACAUUUUCUAAUGAUUUCUGAGCCACCGAGUGCAUCUGGGCAGCCCAGUCUCUGUUUUCAUUCCCUGAGAUGUACUUUCUCUCCUGGAGCCCCGUAUGGGGGCACUUCAACCGCAGGCCUUGCCUCCCUCCCACGGUGCUGAGGAGGGACAGGCCCUGCCUUCCCCAGGAAAGCUCAAGCUGGAGAAGCCCCGAUGUGGGGGAAGUUCUGAGCAGGCAUUGUCACCCCCAGGUCUAGUGUCUCCACAGUGUCCCCCUGGCCCCAAGCACAGGCUGUGCCUCCCCCAUGUGCAGCCGCUGGGAUGGCAGGUGGGCUGGUGUGGCCCCCGGGAGCACAGAGUCCUCACUGUGGCCUCCCAGAUCCCCCCAGACGCCGACCAGUCCCACCCAGGAGGGCAGGCCCUGCUGUGCUGCAGGUCCCCUGGGGCGCUGGGUCCCCCCAUCUGA